CUCACAACCGGCGCAACGUCAUAGAAUGUCUCUGAACAGGUUCACGCCCACUUUUGGGGGAAAACAAACCGCCAUACAGCAUCGGAUCGAGGAAGUGGACUAACCUUACAACAUGCCAAAGAGUUGUUGUGUGGUUGGGUGCACCAAUAAUGUUUGUAAAAACCCAAAUUUAGCCCAGGCUACCUGCCACCAUCAUCCAUAUCUUGCUGUUAUGGAAAUAUUAUGAAUUACGGAUGAUGCUAUCGAAAGCGAAGCCAGGCUAGUUGUAUGGCUGGACAGAAAAGUGCACUCAGUACUCUAAAUAUAAGGACAUAAUAUAUACAUUUAAAGAUGUUUACUUUCAAACGAAGUAAAAUCAUUCACUGGUUUACAUGGUGAUUAGAUUAGGUAUGAGUAAAUGUCCGGCAAGACACCUCUGGCCACUGGGUGGGGUUGUUACACCAAUUUGACGCUGGGAUAAUGAGUUUUUAAAUUGACCAAAUUAAGUUUAUGGAUGUAUCUUUCACGCUCUAUGGCAGGCAGGGUCGACAUAUAAUUACUUGACAUGAUUAAUCCUAGUGAUUACUUAAGUUAUUCACGUCUGUCGGCUGUGUAUGGACGUUGCUUUUUGCCGCUAAUUUGUAUUGAAGCCUAUGGGAAGUCUAGUUUGUUUUCCCCCAAAAAGGGGCGGUAACGAAAUUGACAGUUAAGUUCCCGGAUGUGCCGGUAGCGCGUAUGGCAUAUGUGAAAGUCUAAACGAAAGUGAAAGAUUGUUACAUUGUGUUGGAAAACAGUUCGGAACUAAACUUAAAAUGGCUCAAACUACAGACAAUGUGAUCACUGAAGGACGAGAAGACAAACUUCCUACGAUUACAGGAAAUAAAUAUUUCAUCCUUUCACCUGGGAAGACAUUCAAGCUGAAAGAGGACAUCAUGAAAGAUGUCUUACAACAAUUAUCAGGUAAAAGGUGCGGACCGUGGAGGUGUGUGGCGUCAUUUUGGUUUUCUGCUUUAUUGUUUCAAGGGCAGGAACUGACAUUGAUGCUGCACUAAAUGAACUUGAUGAACUCUCAGGGUCCAAACCAGCUCUUUUCAUGGUGCUUCAUCACACAUUUGACCCAGAGAAGACUGUGCCAGACAGCAGCAGAUUUGUGAGCAGGAAGGAUACACUCACUGUGGACUGUCUGUUCCACGAGGAUGAAGGACUUCUGAAUUGUGUGAAGAAUAAAGAAGCUCAGACCAGAAUCCAACAAUGGCUGAAGCCACAGGUAUCCAGUUCUUCAGUAAAAAAAGAUGCUUAUUAAAAUGACAAAAUAUGUAAAUGCACUCUUCAGUGAUCUUGCGUCCUUGUGUUCUCGUUCUACGUCAUCAUCAACCGUCGAGGUUCAGUUCCAAUUCUCAAGAAUGCGAGUACAGAUGACCCAUGAAAGUUCCCGGAUGUGUUCUUGAUAUCGAGGAUGAAAGUCUGCAGUAUUUUUUAUUGGCAUAUUACAAUGAAUCUUAACAUAGUCAUAGUUAAACACUAUAUAACGCUGUAAAAUAAAACAUAUGAUAUGAAAAUAAUAUCUAUAAUAGUGUUAAAUGUUUUAAUUUUUUUAAGUUUUAAAGUUAUGACAUUUGUUUGUAAUGUUAUGUUAUAUUUAUUGUUCAUUGGCCGCUGCUUAUGCUGAGACUAUGCGGUCAGUUAAGCAAGAACGCAGUACAUCUCAAUUCUCACAAGGAUGCGUUCUGUGUUCGCGCGUCCUUCCGAGUUCGUUCUUCCAAAGAAGCCUUGCAAGACUGGUCUCCACGAGAACACAAGUCCGUUCUCUGCGUUCUUGGAAUUGAGGAACAGCAUGAUUUAAAAAAAAAAAUUGUAAUCUGAAUCUUUAAAAUAUCUUUAAAAAAAUCAUCUGCUUUCAAACAUAGUGCCUGAAGACAUAGUGCGCCGAUCAAAGACCCAUGUUUACCCUAGGAUUACUCUGUCUUACCUGUAUUAUACCUGUUUACUGAUGUUUUGACCCUGCCUGUGUUUUUGACCACGUCUGUUAAAUUAAGCUUUGCACAUGGAUCCGCACGUCUCACGUCUCGUUUGCCCCGUAACAGAUAGGCCUAUAUUCAGUGUAAUCAAUGCAUUAGAUUGAUGUUCAUGAUUUGUUUUCUUUGUUUGAAAUGUUCAAAAACUCUUUUAGUUUAAACAUUUUUCUUUAAGUUCCUACAUUACCCUAUUGUCCCAAUUAUGAGAAUGCUGUGAAAAAGGAAUUGUUGAGAUCACAUCAAGUGCAUGUCAUACUUUCCCAUCUGAGGAUCAAGUAUGAAAUACAUUAUCAGUUUCACUUGACUGUAUCAAAAAUUAAGUAAUUAAAUGUAUUAAAGCACA